AGUCACACUAUAUAUAUAUAUGUGUGUGUGUGUGUAUAUAUAUGAAGUAUCUUUGUUAAUGUAAGAAAUUUCUUUGCUAAUGCUAUGUUCUGUCAAUUCGUAGAUGUAGUUUUACAGUUCUAAUGUCUACCAAAAUUUGCAGCUAUGGGAUGGCACACUUGUGAACCAGUUAUCGUCACUGCCAAAUGUAAAGAGAGUAGUCUCCUUGGGAACUCUGUGUGCAAUUGAGCUGCAGGCCGAGGGAUCUGAUGCCGGGUAUGCGUCGUUGUAUGCGAGAUCCCUGAUCCAGCAACUUCGAGAAGAGGAUGAUAUCUAUGUGAGGCCCCUGGGCAACGUGAUAUACCUAAUGUGUGGUCCUUGCACGACCAGAGAUGUCUGCACGGAACAACUCUCCAAAGUGUACCGUAGAAUCAGUCACUUCAAUCCAAUUCACUGAGGAUAGUUGUGAGCAGAAAGUCAGAAAAUCUAUGCUAGCUUUAGUUUCCGGCCAGCAGACAAUGUGCCCCGCCUCUAAGGUGAAAGCUUAUGGAGCUUUUGAAUAUGUAGUUCAGGCUGGAUGUAAGUUCAGUUACAAUGUUCUCCUAUGAUUACGUGGAAGUGGGAUGACAUUACAAAGAGAAAUAGGCCUACUCUGCAUUUCCCACUUCCAUGUAAUCAUAGUAAUAUUACCCAGUAUAGGCCUAUUUCUCUUUGUAAUGUCAUAUAUAUAAGAUUUGUUCCAAAGUUUUGGCUAA